GCAGGGUUGAAACUCAAAGGAANUGACGGGGGCCCGCACAAGCGGUGGAGUAUGUGGUUUAAUUCGACGCAACGCGAAGAACCUUACCAGGUCUUGACAUUGAUGGACAGAACCAGAGAUGGUUCCUCUUCUUCGGAAGCCAGAAAACAGGUGGUGCACGGUUGUCGUCAGCUCGUGUCGUGAGAUGUUGGGUUAAGUCCCGCAACGAGCGCAACCCCUAUCUUAUGUUGCCAGCACUUCGGGUGGGAACUCAUGAGAGACUGCCGCAGACAAUGCGGAGGAAGGCGGGGAUGACGUCAAAUCAUCAUGCCCCUUAUGACCUGGGCUACACACGUACUACAAUGGGAGUUAAUAGACGGAAGCGAGAUCGCGAGAUGGAGCAAACCCGAGAAACACUCUCUCAGUUCGGAUCGUAGGCUGCAACUCGCCUACGUGAAGUCGGAAUCGCUAGUAAUCGCAGGUCAGCAUACUGCGGUGAAUACGUUCCCGGGCCUUGUACACACCGCCCGUCACACCACGAAAGUCGGAAGUGCCCAAAGCCGGUGGGGUAACCUUCGGGAGCCANCCGU
rnacentral:rRNA from 1 species